GAUGAACGCUGGCGGCGUGCCUAAUACAUGCAAGUCGAGCGAACAGACGAGGAGCUUGCUCCUCUGACGUUAGCGGCGGACGGGUGAGUAACACGUGGAUAACCUACCUAUAAGACUGGGAUAACUUCGUGAAACCGGAGCUAAUACCGUAUAAUAUAUUGAACCGCAUGGUUCAAUAGUGAAAGACGGUUUUGCUGUCACUUAUAGAUGGAUCCGCGCCGCAUUAGCUAGUUGGUAAGGUAACGGCUUACCAAGGCAACGAUGCGUAGCCGACCUGAGAGGGUGAUCGGCCACACUGGAACUGAGACACGGUCCAGACUCCUACGGGAGGCAGCAGUAGGGAAUCUUCCGCAAUGGGCGAAAGCUUGACGGAGCAACGCCGCGUGAGUGAUGAAGGUCUUCGGAUCGUAAAACUCUGUUAUUAGGGAAGAACAAAUGUGUAAGUAACUAUGCACGUCUUGACGGUACCUAAUCAGAAAGCCACGGCUAACUACGUG
rnacentral:rRNA from 1 species